rnacentral:rRNA from 1 species
UACGGAAUCCUUUAGAGAUAGAGGAGUGCUACGAAAGAGAACCGUACACAGGUGCUGCAUGGCUGUCGUCAGCUCGUGUCGUGAGAUGUUGGGUUAAGUCCCGCAACGAGCGCAACCCUUGUCAUUAGUUGCUACAUUCAGUUGGGCACUCUAAUGAGACUGCCGGUGACAAACCGGAGGAAGGUGGGGAUGACGUCAAGUCCUCAUGGCCCUUAUAGGUGGGGCUACACACGUCAUACAAUGGCUGGUACAAAGGGUUGCCAACCCGCGAGGGGGAGCCAAUCCCAUAAAGCCAGUCGUAGUCCGGAUCGCAGUCUGCAACUCGACUGCGUGAAGUCGGAAUCGCUAGUAAUCGUGGAUCAGCAUGUCACGGUGAAUACGUUCCCGGGUCUU